UUUAUGGAGAGUUUGAUCCUGGCUCAGGACGAACGCUGGCGGCGUGCUUAACACAUGCAAGUCGAACGAGACGAUUUUAAGCUUGCUUAGAUGAGUCGAGUGGCAAACGGGUGAGUAACGCGUAGACAACCUGCCGCAAAGAUGGGGACAACAGUCCGAAAGGA
rnacentral:ncRNA from 1 species